rnacentral:rRNA from 1 species
UGGGGAAUCUUGGACAAUGGGGGCAACCCUGAUCCAGCCAUGCCGCGUGAGUGAUGAAGGCCUUAGGGUCGUAAAGCUCUUUCGCCUGUGAAGAUAAUGACGGUAGCAGGUAAAGAAACCCCGGCUAACUCCGUGCCAGCAGCCGCGGUAAUACGGAGGGGGUUAGCGUUGUUCGGAAUUACUGGGCGUAAAGCGCACGUAGGCGGACCAGAAAGUUGGGGGUGAAAUCCCGGGGCUCAACCCCGGAACUGCCUCCAAAACUAUUGGUCUAGAGUUCGAGAGAGGUGAGUGGAAUUCCAAGUGUAGAGGUGAAAUUCGUAGAUAUUUGGAGGAACACCAGUGGCGAAGGCGGCUCACUGGCUCGAUACUGACGCUGAGGUGCGAAAGUGUGGGGAGCAAACAGGAUUAGAUACCCUGGUAGUCCACACCGUAAAACGAUGAAUGCCAGUCGUCGGGUAGCAUGCUAUUCGGUGACACACCUAACGGAUUAAGCAUUCCGCCUGGGGAGUACGGUCGCAA